AUGAAAAUGAACAGAAAAUGGCAGGUUUCAUGGAUGUCGAACUCUACAGCAGAAUAGGCUCAGUACCACUUUUGUUUCUUCUUUUCUUUCUUCUUUUUUUUUUU
rnacentral:ribozyme from 16 species